AGGAGAGAGAGUGUCAUUCCAGUGUAUUGAUCAACUGUAGCUCAGGACCACACCUACUAGUGGUGGGUGGAGUUGCUGGAACCCCUACCAUUGACUGUUGGUUGUUAAAUAUAAACAAAAUGGAAUGGAAAGAACUGACUAAUAUACCAGACAGUGUCACUUAUAGAUGGUAUCAUUCUCUCUCAGUUUGGAAUGAGACACAGACCACUCACUGGAUAACUGAGUUUGGAGGAGAGAGAGGUGUUUCAAAAAUCAGUGAUACAAGAUUUAUUGAAAUCAUAACUAGUACUGGUGAUAUAGUAGUACAGUCAGUA